GUUAAAGUUUGCAGGGUAAGCGACAAGUUAAAGUUUGCUCGAUAAGCCACAAGUUAAAGUUUGCUGGAUAAGUGACGAGUUAAAGUUCGCUGGAUAAGCGACAGAGUUAAAGUUCACGGGAAGCGACAAGCUAAAGUUCGCGGGGAGCGACGGAGUUAAAGUUCGAAGGAAGCAACGGAGUUAAAGUUGGCAGGAAGCAACGGAGUUAAAGUUUGUGGGAAAAGUGACGAGUUAAAGUUCGCAGGAAAAGCGACAAAUUAAAGUUCACAGUUCUCCAUCUGCUGCUUUCCCUUCUGAAUGGUCCAGCACCAUGUUCAAGAAGCACAAUAAUUCCCAAACUCAUGAUCCCAUGGAGGCCACAACACAAUAUGCAGAUAUCUGAAGUGUUUAAGAAUUUCCUGAACAUCUCCUCUGAAGAUCCUCACAGAGGUAUAUUUACUAAUCUUGGUAAAAUUCACUGUGUGACAGGUUCACUUGAACGGGAACAAUACUGCUCUUAUUUGUUCCGGUAUCACAAAUUCUAGCAUGUUGCAAGAUGUUAAAAAAUAUUUAAAUGAA